ACGUCAGUGCACUGUUCAUAAGGGACAAAAAGGACGGUUCUGUCCUCAAUGUAUCUUUUUUUUACGCCUCUGCCAUUCACUCUCUCUUCCUCUCUCUCUCUCUCUCUCUCUCACACCUAAAACGAAUUGUUUCUGCUUUCUCUCGCUCUCCUACUCCUCUCGCUUUGAGCCGUACGGAUCUUUCAAAUUUCAAUUGGUUUUUGAAGAAAGCCCAGAAGCUGCAACAACUUGAAGGCACCAAUCAAAGAACACAAGUUUGCAAUUGGGAGAGAGAGAGUUCCGAGUUUCUGCCAUUGGUUGUUGACCGAAGCUAGAAUCACAGACUGAUCGGUGUUCGUUGUUUGCUUGCUUGCUUUUGGCCAGGCAAGGUACUGAAGGAGGAAUGUGUUAAAUGGUUACAACAUGGAGAAGACUGUAAAAGUACUUGGGCUCCCUCCCUCUAUGAACUAGAGAACUUCAUUUGAUUACUAUUAGUUGUUAGUUCAGUUAGAAAGCAAUUGAUAAUUUCAUAGAGAACUUCAUUUGAUUACUAUCAGUUGUUAGUUCAGUUAGAAAGCAAUUGAUAAUUGUUAUAUAACGUGAACGAAGUGAUAUACAGGUCAUUGAGGUCAACACUUCAGUCUAGCA